GUGGUCUCUAUAACCAGGUACAAAACUCUCACAACCUCUCCAAAAGAAAACAAAAGAGAGGUGGACCACCUAUCACCAAAUCCCUCGAUAGCUAACUCGAGGCGAAACCUUUCCCGCGAUCCCGAGCCUCUCCCAGAGUGGAAGGCUCUGAAAGAAAACAUAAAACAGAGGGCGUGAGAACUAUAAUUUAUAGUUCCUAGUGGGCAAUUACUGACCUUAGCAAAAUGCACCACUAGGCCCAAGUCAAGAGCAGAUAUAGAUAACGAAAUAACAACUGCAGAAAUAUAAGCAUACAUUGAAAUGCUAUUCUACUAUGCCACAAGUAUACAUGAUAUGAACGUGGAGUACAUCUACUCUAUCAUGAAUCCAAUAUGCCGAUGCAUAACAGGUAUGCCCUACCAUGGCUACCCAAAAGCUGUGAUGCAACAAGUAAUACUACGAAGUAUACUAUCGUGGCAAUUAAGGAUACCACAAUUCCCAAUGUCAACAGAAUCCAACCACGAUACACAAUCAAAUAGUGUUUAUCACUUAUUGUUUACUGUUCUAGUCAAUGUCCACAUGGCACUUUAACUAUUUAAAGUUCAACUCUGAUAAGACCCACCCGAAGGCUGUCUGGCGUGAGACCCACCCGAAGGCUGUCUGGUAUGAGACCCACCCGAAGGCUGUCUGGCGUGAGACCCACCCGAAGGCUGUCUGGUAUGAGACCCACCCGAAGGCUGUCUGAAGUAUCAAGUCCUCAUGUCGAAAACAUGGAAUUACUCACUAGCAACCCAUAGGUCUAGUCUAUGCCUCAAGUGAAGGUUUACUAUGUCAAUGAUUCCAAUGUCCUAUGUGACCUUAGAUUUACUAAGUCCAUACGUAUUCCAAGCCUAAUGCCUCUUUACGGCAUUAGCUUACUACACCAAUUCCAAGCCCAAUGUCUCUUUAUGACAUUAGUUUACUAGGUUCAUACAUGUCCCAAGCUCAAUGUCGCUUUAUGACAUUAGCUUAAUAUACCAAUAAUAGGAUAAUACGCAUGCUCUCUAGCAUUAUCUCACAUUGCUAAUAUGUAUCUAGCAUG
rnacentral:lncRNA from 1 species